AGCGUCGUCAAAGAUUUAAACAAUUUAAUUUGAUUUUUGUAAAGUGUUGUGUUAUUCUCUGACGAACAAGAUGUUGAGAAACGAUACGAGAACCACGGAAGCGAUACAAUGAUCCCAUCAUAUACUGAAUCAAUCACGUGAAUGCUGAGGUUCUCAUUGUGCGAUCCAAAUUGAGUUAAGGAAGAUUUGGGUUGGACUAGUGGGGAUCGUAGCUGAGAAUUGCUUGGAGUCUAAGGAAUCUCAACGAGAACUACGACUUGGAGCAAUUGGAAGCUUCCAGAGUGGGAAACAGGGUGGAGCCACACCGUCGUAUAUCUACCUCGACUUCACUCAAUAACUCUCGCUGCAUAGUGAUCUUGAAGAAGAUUGCAUCGAGACCUUCAUGGUAAUCUCACAGACAGGAUGGAAGGCUGAACUCUCAGCAACAAAUCUUGCGUCGGUGCUGGGUUGCUACCGACGCCUUCGGCGCGAAAAUGUGCGCUGAUACCUUGGAAAAUGCUCAAUUAUCACGACAUCGAUUUCUCGGGAACUGAUUAU